GAUGAACGCUGGCGGCGCGCCUAACACAUGCAAGUCGUACGAUUAAAGCACCUUCGGGUGUGUAUAAAGUGGCGAACGGCUGAGUAACACGUGGGCAACCUGCCCCUUUCAUUGGGAUAGCCACGGGAAACCGUGGAUAAUACCGAAUACUUCGAGACUUCCGCAUGGAAGACUCGAGAAAGCUCCGGCGGAGAGGGAUGGGCCCGCGGCCUGUUAGCUUGUUGGUGGGGUAACGGCCUACCAAGGCAAUGAUGGGUAGCUGGGUUGAGAGACCGACCAGCCAGAUUGGGACUGAGACACGGCCCAGACUCCUACGGGAGGCAGCAGUGGGGAAUCUUGCACAAUGGGCGAAAGCCUGAUGCAGCGACGCCGCGUGCGGGAUGAAGGCCUUCGGGUUGUAAACCGCUUUCAGCAGGGACGAGGCGAAAGUGACGGUACCUGCAGAAGAAGCCCCGGCUAACUACGUG
rnacentral:rRNA from 1 species